rnacentral:rRNA from 1 species
UACGUAGGGUGCAAGCGUUAAUCGGAAUUACUGGGCGUAAAGCGUGCGCAGGCGGUUUUGUAAGUCUGUCGUGAAAUCCCCGGGCUCAACCUGGGAAUUGCGAUGGAGACUGCAAGGCUAGAAUCUGGCAGAGGGGGGUAGAAUUCCACGUGUAGCAGUGAAAUGCGUAGAGAUGUGGAGGAACACCGAUGGCGAAAGGCAGCCCCCUGGGUCAAGAUUGACGCUCAUGCA